rnacentral:rRNA from 1 species
UACAGAGGUGGCAAGCGUUGUUCGGAAUUACUGGGCGUAAAGGGCGCGUAGGCGGUCUUGUCAGUCCCUUGUGAAAUCCCCCGGCUCAACUGGGGAACUGCACGGGAAACAGCAGGGCUUGAGUUCGGGAGAGGGAAGCGGAAUUCCGGGUGUAGCGGUGAAAUGCGUAGAUAUCAGGAGGAACACCGGUGGCGAAGGCGGGAUCUCGUGGGCCGAUGACUGACGCUGGAGGAGCGAAAGCGUGGGUAGCAAACAGGA